rnacentral:rRNA from 1 species
CAAUAGCGUAUAUUAAAGUUGUUGCAGUUAAAAAGCUCGUAGUUGGAUUUCUGGUGGGAGCGAUCGUUCUGGCGCUUAGCGCGAGUACUUGCAUCGUCUCCGGCCAUCCUUGGGGAGAGUCUGUCUGGCAUUAGGUUGUCGGGCAGAGGAUCCUCAUCGUUUACUGUGAAAAAAUUAGAGUGUUCAAAGCAGGCUUAUGCCGUUGAAUAUAUUAGCAUGGAAUAAUAAGAUAGGACUUUGGUACUAUUUUGUUGGUUUGCGCACCAAAGUAAUGAUUAAUAGGGACAGUUGGGGGUAUUCGUAUUCCGUUGUCAGAGGUGAAAUUCUUGGAUUUACGGAAGACGAACUACUGCGAAAGCAUUUACCAAGGAUGUUUUCAUUAA